rnacentral:rRNA from 1 species
CACCGGCGCACGGGUGCGUAACGCGUACAUAACCUACCCUGAAGAGGGGGAUAGCAUCGGGAAACUGGUGGUAAUACCCCAUGAGCUUAAUCGGUGGCAUUACCGGUUAAGGAAAGUCCAAGCGCUUUGGGAUGGAUGUGCGUCCGAUUAGCUAGUUGGCGGGGUAACGGCCCACCAAGGCGACGAUCGGUAGGGGGUGUGAGAGCAUGACCCCCCACACGGGUACUGAGACACGGACCCG